rnacentral:rRNA from 1 species
AGAGAGAGACAUGCGCGCAUAUCAAUAAGCGGAGGAAAAGAAACUAACAAGGAUUCCCUUAGUAACGGCGAGUGAAGCGGGAAGAGCUCAAAUUUGAAAUCUUCAAGGUUUUACCUUGACGAAUUGUAGUUUAAAGAAGUGUUUUCUGCUGAAGUUUUGGUAAAAGUUCUUUGGGAAUAGGACAUCAUAGAGGGUGAGAAUCCCGUAUUUGACCAUUAUUUUCAGCUUUGUGAUACACUUUCAAAGAGUCGGAUUGUUUGGGAAUGCAGUCCAAAAUGGGUGGUAAAUUUCAUCUAAAGCUAAAUAUUGGCGAGAGACCGAUAGCGAACAAGUACCGUGAGGGAAAGAUGAAAAGAACUUUGAAAAGAGAGUUAAACAGUACGUGAAAUUGUCAAAAGGGAAGCGUUUGACACCAGUGUUGUUUUCUCGAAAAUCAAUUAAAAAUGGCUCGAUUUUGUAUUGUUGAGACCUUAAAAGCUCACUGUACAUUUUUCGUGUCUUUUUUAAUGCACUUUUCGUUUAACAAGUCAACAUCAGUUUCUUUUGUUGUAAAAGGGUCAUUGGAAGGUGGCUUUCUUUUCGGAGAAAGUGUUUAUAGCCUUUGGCCUCUGCAAUCGGAGAGACUGAGGUCUGCAGCGUAGACUCUUCGGGGUUAGAUACAUUUGUGCUAAGUUAUAGCCUUUUCAUAGACAACUUGUUGACUAUAAUCAGUCAUGUAGCUUACUCGCUUAUGCUAUUUUACCUACGCUUAGGAUGUUGAAGAUGUAGCACAUCAU